rnacentral:rRNA from 1 species
UGGGGAAUUUUGGACAAUGGGCGCAAGCCUGAUCCAGCAAUGCCGCGUGCAGGAUGAAGGCCUUCGGGUUGUAAACUGCUUUUGUACGGGGCGAAAAGGUCUGCCCUAAUACGGUGGGCUAAUGACGGUACCUGAAGAAUAAGCACCGGCUAACUACGUGCCAGCAGCCGCGGUAAUACGUAGGGUGCAAGCGUUAAUCGGAAUUACUGGGCGUAAAGCGUGCGCAGGCGGUUAUGCAAGACAGAGGUGAAAUCCCCGGGCUCAACCUGGGAACUGCAUUUGUGACUGUAUAGCUAGAGUACGGCAGAGGGGGAUGGAAUUCCGCGUGUAGCAGUGAAAUGCGUAGAUAUGCGGAGGAACACCGAUGGCGAAGGCAAUCCCCUGGGCCUGUACUGACGCUCAUGCACGAAAGCGUGGGGAGCAAACA